AGCAAGACAGAGACUGUAGAGAGAAGGCUGGGGAGCAGCAGGAGCUCUCCAGGGACCGCAGGAAUUUCCCAGAUCAGAGGACUUGAUGACGGUGUUUAUUGCUCACAGCCACUGUGCCACUUUUAUGUUGAGGAAGUGGGCGAAGAUCUCCUGAUGACUAGAAAGGGAAGCACCUCCCAUCCUCAGGGAAUAAAACCAGUUAUGAUCAUUCCUAUUUGCCAAUGAUGGGCCCAAAGAUGCACAGGUGUCCUGUUCUGGCUAAAGAGAUGUAAGGAAAAAUUUGCUGCAAAGAGGCAUACUAUUCAAAAUAAAAAGACUAAGCCUUCUUAGGAGGAGGAAUUUUGCCUUGUACGUCAUUUUUUGGAAUGUUGACAUGAUGCUUUGGUUUGUUAUAACCAUUUAGGGACAAGCAUGAGAGUAAAAUCCAACACAUUCAAGAUGACAAAGCAGAACGCUAGGAAGAGCUGAUUCUUGGGAUCAUUGUUAGUGGUUGAACCAAUGCCAGCAAUCGUUGCCUACCAGCUUCUUACUGUAUAAAUAAAAGAAACUUUUA